rnacentral:lncRNA from 1 species
AAGUUUUGUGGUUUGGUUCAAAAUUAAUAGAGCCUUCUUCUCCAUGUUCUCACGUUGGCUAUGAAGGGGUAGAAAGGGGUACAAGAUUUUCAAUUGCUCUUAUGCAUUUCAUCAAAUUAAAAUCACACCCCUCCUAAAAUCAUGUUUCCCUUCACAUUUUACUUCCCUUUUCUCCUUUUGCCUCAACACUGUUUCAUCGUGGCCAUGGGAAGUAAAGUUGUUGCAGUUGUUUAAGCCUGAGCGCAAGAAACAAGAUCAAUUUUUACACCAUUUUGGGAUUUUUCCACAUUCAAACUCGCAUGGGUGUGUAGGAUUUUAUGUUUUUUCUUGAUACGGGGCAAGCUCGGCAGGCUAGUUACUUGAUUUCAGGAAUAUUUUUUUUCUAAAAGAACUUCUAGACUAAUUUUUGGAAUGUAGCUGAUGACAAUUUUGAAACGUAGACUCUGGGAGCAGUUUUUGAAAUGCAGGACUACGGGUGAGUGCAAACGGGAAUGUAAUUUCUGGGGUAUUUUUGGAAAAAAUAAUAAAAGAGGAGUGCAAUAGUAACAAAAGACAGUGGAAAUAGCAUAAGCCUCUUUUACAUUUUUUGGGUCUUGGCCUCAAGAGAUGUUGGGUCUGAAGAAGGUUUUGGUUGUUUGAAGACUAAUGUAUAUUUUUUUCUUGAUUGAUUUUAUUUAAGAGUUAGUUUCAAUUUCAAAUGAUGUUAAAAAGUGGUGGAAAAAAAAUAGAGAGCCAUUUUAGUCCCAUAAUUUGUGUGGUGAUAUCAAAUUAGUCCUGAAAUUAAAAAAACAAGUUAGUAGGUGUAAAUAUUUUAUAAGCUUAAAUAGGG